GACGAACGCUGGCGGCGUGCCUAAUACAUGCAAGUAGAACGCACAGUUUAUACCGUAGCUUGCUACACCAUAGACUGUGAGUUGCGAACGGGUGAGUAACGCGUAGGUAACCUGCCUGGUAGCGGGGGAUAACUAUUGGAAACGCUAGCUAAUACCGCAUACUAUUUAUUAUUGCAUGAUAAUUGAUUGAAAGAUGCUAUUGCAUCACUACCAGAUGGACUUGCGUUGUAUUAGCUAGUAGGUGAGGUAACGGCUCACCUAGGCGACGAUACAUAGCCGACCGGAGAGGGUGAUCGGCCACACUGGGACUGAGACACGGCCCAGACUCCUACGGGAGGCAGCAGUAGGGAAUCUUCGGCAAUGGACGAAAGUCUGACCGAGCAACGCCGCGGGAGUGAAGAAGGUUGUCGGAUCGUAAAGCUCGGUUGUAAGAGAAGAACGGGUGUGAGAGUGGAAAGUUCACACUGUGACGGUAUCUUACCAGAAAGGGACGGCUAACUACGUG
rnacentral:rRNA from 1 species